AGCAGCCGCGGUAAUUCCAGCUCCAAUAGCGUAUAUUAAAGUUGUUGCAGUUAAAAAGCUCGUAGUUGAAUUUCGGGGUCAGUAGGUUGGUCAUGCCUUUGGUAUGUACUGGUCUCACUGAUUCCUCCCUCUUGAAGAACUGUAAUGUCAUUAAUUUGGUGUUGCGGGGAAUCAGGACUGUUACUUUGAAAAAAUUAGAGUGUUUAAACAGGCUUACGCUUGAAUACAUUAGCAUGGAAUAAUGAAAUAGGACGUUUGAUCCUAUUUUGUUGGUUUCUAGGAUUGACGUAAUGAUUAAUAGGGAUAGUUGGGGGCAUUAGUAUUCAAUUGUCAGAGGUGAAAUUCUUGGAUUUAUUGAAGACUAACUACUGCGAAAGCAUUUGCCAAGGAUGUUUUCAUAAUUCAAGAACGAAAGUUAGGGGAUCGAAGACGAUCAGAUACCGUCGUAGUCUUAACCAUAAACUAUGCCGACUAGGGAUCGGAUGGUGUUAAUUUUUUAAUGACUCAUUCGGCGCCUUAC
rnacentral:rRNA from 1 species